rnacentral:lncRNA from 1 species
GGCCACCGCUCGAAUCCCGGGAGAAGCUUCUGGAACCCGUGCAACGUCAAAAGCAGCCUUAAAGGAAAACUGCGCUCACCACUUGGUGGUGACUCUGGGCAUUCUUUCCUUUCUUUUUUUGGGGGGGGGGAGAGGGGAGGGGGUAGGGGAGAGAAUAGUGCACUCUGGGAGGUGUAGUCCCUGGAGCAGACUCAAAAGAUCACACCUUCUUACUCAUCUUCCAUUUAAUCGUAAACUGACCUCGCCCAGACCUGAUUUAGCUUUAUAUUACCGUGACCCGGAAUUGACCUGAUGUGACCUAACAAUCUCAAAACAGACUCUGGUAGAUGUGUAGAGUUUAAGUACCUUUCUGAUCUCUCCUUUGUAAUUGGGUAGUUCUUUACAGGUUUAGCACCUUCAUGCUUCCCUGAGUCCCCUUUUCAUCCUCUGUAUAAUCCCCUCAUCCCUGCUCCCUUAUGCAGCCCGUUCUCAACAAACCCCACAAUCCCCAUUAAAGUUCCCCCUAUAAUCUUUCAUCUUUCUUUUCCUUUGAGUUCCCACGUUUUAGCUCCCCUUUAUCAUCCUCUCAUCUUGGCCUCAUAUGAUCUCCUGUCCUUCCCUCAUCAUCCUCUGUCUUACCCUAUUCUUAAUCCUUUAUUUACUCCCAUGAACUCCCCUACCCUGGCCCCCUUUUAAUCUUUCAUCCUAGCUCCAUGGUCUCCUUUCUUAACACCCUCAGAAUCUCUCAUCUCAGUACUUCCCCACCCCCAUUAAAUCUCAGCCCCAGUGUCCCCGAUGUUCAGAGCAGGCAGGGCUGUGGAGGCGGCGGAAGCCGACGCUUGAGCAGACACGGUGCCUAGCGCCCACGUCACUGUCUCCCAGACCCAUCUGUGCUAGAGGGAGCGGGGGUAGGAAGGGGGUAAUCUGGGGGUGAAGAGGGGGAAGGAGUUCUUGGGGGGUUUGAGGACAAAGGAAGGGCCAGGGCAGAAGCUUUCACAUAUCUCUCAUUCUUUGAGGGUUCCCAAUUCAGAAAUUGGAUACCCAUGUGGUCAUGCAAACUGGAUAGGGCUGGAAACAGAUUUGGAGAGCAUCAGUACCUAGGCAGCAGAGCAGGGCAGGGAAGAGGUCUAAGGAUCCUGAGGUCAGGUCUACAUAUCCUCUACUGCCUGCCUUCUUACUAGUAUUCACAAGGGGGAUCCCAGGUGUAAAGGGGUAUGGGGUGUGAAGGAAGGAAGAAAGUGUGGUAAGAGGACAAUGGAGGCGUUUCUGUCCUGCCUCAGGGGUAACGAACACGACUAGUAUCCAGGAGGAUGCAGGUUUGAUCCUUGCCCCUGCUCAGUGGGUUAAGGAUCUGGUGUUGCCAUAAGCUGUGUUGUAGGUCGCAGACACACCUUGGAUCCUGUGUUGCUGUGGCUGUGGUGUAGGCCAGCAGCUACAGAUCCAAUUUGACCCCUAGCCUGGGGACCUCCAUAUGCAGGUGCAGCUCUAAAAAAAAAAGGAGGAUGAAGAGGAGGCAGAGUAAGGGGGUUAAGGAUAGGAGGGAGGGGAGGGAAGAUGGGGUAGGGGAAACGGAGAGUGGAGGAGAGGGGAGAGGGGUGAGGUGGAUGGGGAGAGGAGGGAGGAGAGAAACGGUGGGAGGUAGAGUUGAGGAGAUGAGAAGGAAAGGGGAAAUGAGGAACAGGGAUUAGAAGGGAGGGGAGAUGGGGUAAGUAGCAAAAGAGAUGGGAUGAAGGGGAAUGAGAAAGGGAGGGGAGGUGGGGUGACGGGGGAAUGGAAUAGUGUGACAUGGAGGUAGGAAAGGGAGGGUGAGGGGGCCCAGAACUGCUAAUGGAUCUGGGGGUUCUCACUCCCCCACCUCCAGACUCAUGGGGGACUGGGGUGUGGGUGGCUCUGCUUCUUCCUAUUCCAAUUCUGUCGAUUUUGCCUCCUCCAGUCUUGCCUGUGCCAACACGGAGGCAGAGUUUAGUCACCGGCCCUUACCUGGUCUCUGCUAAUGCUAAAGUGUAGGCUUAGACCUUCAAGGCUCUAGGGCUCUGCCUUCAGACUCUGUUAUUUGCCGAGUUUGCUGUUGCUGUCCUGUGUCCCAUUGCUCUGGACAUGAAGUGUGUGUGUUAGGAACCAGGGUACGCUGUGGUAUAGGAUGUAAAAAUGCAGGCUCUGGAGGCAGACCAAUGACCUUGUGAGAUGACUUGCCACAUCUAUGUUUCAUUUCCACUGUUGGAAAAUGGCAAUAGACAACAGAAGUACCUUUUAGGGUUGUUGAGGGUUAGUUAAGGUAACAAAUGUAAUGCACUUAUUUCUGAGCUUGGCAUGUAAUUAAUGCUCAAGAGAGUUAACUGACUUUGUAUGUUCACAGAUAUCUGGGUGUGUGAAUGCAUCUAUAAGUGUUUGAGUCUGGGAAUUAUUUGUACUGUUGUAUCUGUAAUGCAAUUGUGAGUGAGAGUGUAUCCAUGUGAUUAUUUUUGUGGGGUAGUGUGCCUAAAUCUGUGUUAUUUGCUGUAGUUAUGUGAUUUUGUGUUAGUGUACUUGUGAUUAAGUGACUAUGUAAGCCUAUGUCCACACAACAAAGAGUGGAUGAAGUGUGGCUGCAUGGCUCUUGAUACGCUGAAACCGUGUCUGCCAGUGUAUGCAUCUGUGAUUGUGUCAUUUCCAAACACCCCCGCUCACCCCCCAUGGAGACGUCACAACCCUAGGUGUCCCUCAUUUUCUCACCCUGAGGGAACCGGAACCCCGGGGGCAGGGGUGGGGGUGGGUGCCAGCGAGGGGGUUUAGACAGGAGCACAUGUUCCCUCCCAGACUGUGUAUAGGAGGGGGAGCCCUAUCUCACAUAUAUCCUGAAGGCUCCAGAGGAGGUUCUCCCCCCAGCCUGUUCUCAGUUCCCUGUCUUGUCACCAUGGCAGCAGUUGCCAGGGGCUCCCAGGGUUGCUAAGAUCUGGGUGUGGGUGGCUGCCAGGUCCUGCUGCCGUAGAAACAGAGAAUCCUGGGGGAAAGGAAGCCUACCCCCACAGCUGCCACUUUACUGAAGUGACAGGACUGGCCCUUGGACCUCUCCUGUCCCCAAAGUAUAGCAAUAAUUUGCCUGUGGCAGUACUAGGGUUGGUGGGGGGCUUUACUAGGAAGCUGGAACUAGAAUACUGAGAUUCACUUUCUGAGGAGAAAGGGGGCUCUGACCUGGCUAUGACUGUAUUUAAGUUUGGGAGGCCUUUACAAAUUAGUGACUGCUUAUUCUGUCUCCCAUCUCUUAUACUUCUCCUCUGGCAGUAUCUCUGCUUGAGUUCUCCAAAGGCUGGUGCUUAUUACCUGAAGCUUCAGCUUGGUAUAGGAAUGCUACUUUGACCUCUUUCCUGUGGAUGCAUACUGACUCCUUCCUGAGGUCAGACUUUUAGAAAUAUUACCUGGAUAGACACUUCAUGCUGACACUUGAGCCCAGAAUUCAGUCCCGCGAUGAGCCCCAACUUUCACCUCAACUUGAGAGACCGACGUUGGUCUCAGUGCUGGAUGAGACAGUUCCCCACACCUAGCCUCAGCCUAAGCCCUCCUAGACACAAGUGAGCCCUAAUCUUCAUAUUGAUUCUUGUAUUCACCUACAGAUUCUGUUUUGAUCCUGUACACUGAUUUUGUUAAAUCACUGAUCAGUGAUCUGACUUCCUGGUACUUGCCUACCACAUCUCCCUGUGUGUUCUGAACCUACCCUGGUCAGUACCGUAAAGGUUCAAAAGGGUUUUUUUGCUUGCCCAGGGAUGAAAGGAUAGUACUAGAAAUGACCAGAAGAGGGCGUGCAACAUCAGGUUCUGAAGGCAUUCUUCACAGAGCCCAUCUGGCAAGGAGGUAAUAGGCAAGUUGAGACCUUGGAUCUUUUCUCUUAGGUUAGAACUCAGAACUGAAGGCACAGAUAAGUUGGUCUAAGAGGCUGAAUGAAAAAAAAUUAAGGUUUCCAACCCAGGGAUGCUAAUGCUUUGGGUUCGUGUUGGUCUGUACAACAUUGGUCUCCCUCCAGCUCAGGGGGCCUCAGGGCUGGGGAUACUCCAGAAGGUGUUUAACUAUUUACUGGCACCACAGGUCUCAAGAGGACUAGAUACCUGGGAAGGUAUCCCACCCCCAAGUUCUCAUUUCAUCAUGUGCUCAUACAGCUUCACUACCUUCUCUGGCAUUCAGUUAUCUUUGGGUCCUAUUGGGCAGAAACCUGCCUCUCCUCCACCUUUGAUCUUAGCUCUAUCUUUGAGGUCACAUCAACCUCAUUGGCCCCAUCUGAUUUCCUCUGGUCUGCUCCUCACCAGGGUGGACAUCCAUCAGGCCUUCAUGAAUUCUUCCUCUACCUUGUUCAAUUCCAGCCACUGAGACCUUUUUAGCCUAGCUGGGUUUCAGUUUGUGCUACCUGGCUCUGAUUAUUUUUUCCAGGCGUGCCAGUGCCACAUACAAACAAGCUAGCCUGCCUCCCUUCUCUGACCCUGAACUUUCCGUGUAGCCUCAGGUUACAUCAGCUUUUUGGUAGCCACCUCAUACUGUUCACCCAUACCAAGUGAAGGCCACAUCCUCUGUUCUCCCUGACCUGCCAAAUCAUAUCCUGCCUGCUUGUACUUGUUAUGAUUUUUAAAGGAGUGUUAAAAACAAAGAUACUUGAAAUCAAUGAAAUAAAAAACAUUUUGGUAAUAACUUUUGAGUUUUAGGGCAAUCCUUGGUCUUGGAAAUUGCUGUUAUUUGAUGCUUGCUUAAAGGUGGGAUGAGCAAGGACUGAAGUGCUCACUUUAGCAGUACAUAUACUAAAAUUGGAACAUGACAGAGAAGAUUAGCAUGGCCUUUGUGCAAGGAUGACAUGCAAAUUCAUGAAGUAUUCUGUAUUUUUGUUUUGAUUAAUAUUAAAAUGUAAUAAUGGAAAGUGCAUGUUUAUAUGAAUAAAUUAGUAUAUUACAAAAAAAAAAAGAAAAAA